rnacentral:rRNA from 1 species
UACGUAGGGAGCAAGCGUUGUCCGGAAUCAUUGGGCGUAAAGCGCGCGUAGGUGGCUUCGUAAGUCCGUUGUGAAAGUCAGAGGCUCAACCUUUGAAAGCCGAUGGAUACUGUGAAGCUAGAGUACGGAAGAGGCGAGUGGAAUUCCUGGUGUAGCGGUGGAAUGCGCAGAUAUCAGGAGGAACACCAAUAGCGAAGGCAGCUCGCUGGGACGUUACUGACACUGAGGCGCGAAAGCGUGGGGAGCGAACAGG